UACAGAGGUCCCGAGCGUUGUUCGGAUUCACUGGGCGUAAAGGGUGCGUAGGUGGCUUGGAAAGUUUGAUGUGAAAGCUCAGGGCUUAACCCUGAAAUGGCAUUGAAUACUAUCGAGCUGGAGGUUUGGAGGGGGGACUGGAAUUCUUGGUGUAGCAGUGAAAUGCGUAGAUAUCAAGAGGAACACCAGUGGCGAAGGCGAGUCCCUGGACAACACCUGACACUGAGGCACGAAAGCCGGGGGAGCAAACAGG
rnacentral:rRNA from 1 species